CUCCAAGUCAUAGUGCUUCUUCUUGGACUGGGACACACGAAUAGGAAACAAGCACAUGAUUAUUUUAGGUGAAAAUAAAAUUUGCUUCCACCCUGAUCCAGCUUGCUGUUGAGAACAGCCUGAACGCGGUGCUCUUCCUUCUGCAGCAAGCGGAGGUCACGCAGCUCCUGGCGUCUAAACACACACAGAACAUUACACACAGCUGGGUCAAUAUAGAAUUGCAGGACUUUUUGUAACAUCGUUGACCGGUAUCAUAGUUGACAUUUUUGGAGGAGGAAAUGGCAUCAUAUGGAGCAGGUCAUGUGAUCUGGAAUUAAGACACUUCCUCGAGAGAUGUUUCGUAAUGGGUAACUUAGUUGAAAGUGAUUUCUUGGACACAGAUACAACUUAUUUUCCAUAUAAAAUUUAAUAUAUUGCCUAAAAGAAAUAUCUGUCAUGUUUAUCUCAAAUUAAUAAAAAGACAUCAAUCAAAACUA